rnacentral:rRNA from 1 species
AGCCCAGACUCCUACGGGAGGCAGCAGUGGGGAAUAUUGCACAAUGGGGGGAACCCUGAUGCAGCGACGCCGCGUGGGUGAAGGAGCACCUCGGUGCGUAAAGCCCUAUCGGCAGGGAAGAAACAGACGGUACCUGACUAAGAAGCACCGACUAAAUACGUGCCAGCAGCCGCGGGAAUACGUAUGGUGCGAGCGUUGUCCGGAUUUACUGGGCGUGAAGGGGGCGCAGGCGGCGCGCCAAGCCCGAUGUGAAAGCCCGGGGCUCAACCCCGGGACUGCAUUGGGAACUGGCGUGCUGGAGUGCCGGAGGGGCAGGCGGAAUUCCUGGUGUAGCGGUGAAAUGCGUAGAUAUUAGGAGGAACACCAGUGGCGAAGGCGGCUUACUGGACAGUAACUGACGUUGAGGCUCGAAAGCGUGGGGAGCAAACAGGAUUAGAUACCCCCGUA